rnacentral:misc_RNA from 1 species
UCCGGUUUGGCACCUGUGCUAGCCCCCGAAGGACACGGGCUUUCACCCGCUUUAACUAGCAUGUCAAGCCCAGGUAAGGUUCUUCGCGUUGCAUCGAAUUAAGCCACAUGCUCCGCCGCUUGUGCGGGCCCCCGUCAAUUCCUUUGAGUUUCACCCUUGCGGGCGUACUCCCCAGGUGGAUUACUUAACGCUUUCGCUAAGACGCUGACAGUUUAUCGCCAACAUCGAGUAAUCAUCGUUUACGGCGUGGACUAC